ensembl:lncRNA
AGGGUUAACAAACUGAGCAGGAAAACAUUCAGACGCCCUGACCACAGAGCCCAACCUUACAUCAGAGCCGUAUGUGUGGAGAACCAGGGCCGUCCGGAAUAACGCACACUACAAGACUGCAAAACAGUACCCCUCCACAUAAUGAUCAGGACACCGUACGAUCCCAGACGUUUUUGGAAUGUUUAAGCAGUAUCGACCUCCCAGAACAACAAAAACCCGGAGCUUUGUGCAACAGUGGAGAGUCAGAACCGAUCUUCAUCAGCGGCCCUGCAACAACACCGAGUGAGUGGCUGCCUCGCGAUUUCUCUGAUGUUUUUGAGUAUAGUAUAUCAGAUUUCGAUCUAGUUCAUAUACCCACCACCCCAGAAUGUGCCAGAAAUAGCGUUGAUUCACACCAGGGGCGAUUCUAGGAUCAGAGCUUUGGGGGUGCUGAGCACCCAGAGAGCUGCCCAGGCAGGCAAGAUAAACUUUACACGUCACGAUGAGACUUCUUCCCUGUCUCUGUCAGUCCC